UACGUAGGGUGCAAGCGUUGUCCGGAAUUAUUGGGCGUAAAGAGCUCGUAGGCGGUCUGUCGCGUCGGCUGUGAAAGCCCGGGGCUCAACCCCGGGUCUGCAGUCGAUACGGGCAGGCUAGAGUGCGGUAGGGGAGACUGGAAUUCCUGGUGGUAGCGGUGAAAUGCGCAGAUAUCAGGAGGAACACCGGUGGCGAAGGCGGGUCUCUGGGCCGUAACUGACGCUGAGGAGCGAAAGCGUGGGGGAGCGAACAGG
rnacentral:rRNA from 1 species